UACGGAGGAUGCGAGCGUUAUCCGGAUUUAUUGGGUUUAAAGGGUGCGUAGGCGGAGGGGUAAGUCAGCGGUGAAACUCAGGUGCUCAACACCUGCCGUGCCGUUGAUACUGCUUUUCUGGAAUGCGGAUGCUGUGGGAGGAAUGUGUGGUGUAGCGGUGAAAUGCAUAGAUAUCACACAGAACACCGAUUGCGAAGGCAUCUCACAAAUCCGUGAUUGACGCUGAGGCACGAAAGUGCGGGGAU
rnacentral:rRNA from 1 species